UUGUGCCUUCCCAUUUGGACCCCAAGAUCUUCUCAAAACGUGGUUUCACAAGGAGAACAAACAAUUUGACUGGGUUCAUUGCAAGUUUAACAUUGUCUACCAGCAAUAAGUUAUGGUACUCUUAUAAGACUUCAUCUAAAUAGUGAAGUCCAAGCUAUAUUUAGGAUUUUGCUUCAAAUUGGCCAUGCUCCUUAGAAUUUGAGUAGUUUAAGUCCACAGUUAAGAUGAUAUAAGAUGAAAAAUAGCUCGUUGUGCUCACCUGACAAACCUCUUAUUUCACUAAAACUAAAGAGCCAAAAGCUAAAUUGUCAUCCAAACACCAUGAGCAACUUCAAAUGAGAAUCAUAAAGUACAAAUUCUAAAAACUUCAUGGUUCAUCUGCAUAUUCUAUGAA
rnacentral:misc_RNA from 1 species